CGCUGGACAGAAUAAAGAAACCCAGCCCAAACCGACCAAACCAUGUGGCCCCUUAGACACCGGUUCGGGUGAGUCGGUUUUUCGGUUUGACGGUUUGAAUAAUCUUGGGUUCACAUGGGUUAAACCGGUCGGUUUAGGUUUGAAUUUAUGGACCCGAUGAUAUCCUAAACCGACCGGUUCAGUAGAAAUUAUGUUAUAGACCAUAAAUUCCUAAAUCAACCGGCCGGCCCAACCAAAACCAAGACUCUCUCUCAGUCUCAAAUCUCAAUUCAUUAGUUCCACUUCUUCGUGAGAUUCAUACGCACAAACAGCAACGUUACUCCGCUAGGGUUCAUCAUUCUCUCAGUUCGUGGUUUCAUCGUUUAACGAAGAACCGUCGCCGUCCAUUAUUCAACCACAAAUCACCACCGAUAUUGAUUUUGUGAAGGUGUUGUCGGUAAAUAUUGUUCCUACUCAGCUCGCCGAUAACUUCCGGAAUAAGAAGCCUGAGGUGCCAGCUAAUUGAUCAUAGCACGCAAUGGGAAGAAGAUAAAUUUGAGUUUGGGUUGCCUACUCAACAACACUGAAAAUUAUUGGUGCGCGUUGGUAUAUUAAAGGAUAUGAAGUAGAAUUCGAUUAUGGUUCCAGUCCCACAACUAUUGGUUUAGAGGUUAUUAAUAGGCCCACAACUCUUGUUGUGAAGAGAUUGAUCUUUGAGACAGUAACCUUGAGGUGGAAGUUGAAUCAUUCUCUUUCGGAGUAACAGCUUCAGAUGGAGCGCGGCAAAAGUAGCUUGCAAGGAGUUGGAGUUCCUAGCUUGCAAGGAGUUGGAGUUCCUAGCGGAGUUGUAGAUCAAGGAGUGAGUCAAGGUAAUGCCAUCACCUGUCAUUUUUAUACUGAGUGUUUGUUUAAUAAGUGAUACAUGUUAUGCUGUCAUUUUUAAAUGUAUGAAUUAUAGGAGCAGCUGCUGGUACUGCACUCCCUCCACUUCGAAAAAGGAAACUUAAUGCUAGUGGUAGUAGAAAAACUUCUACGGUUUGGGAAGAGUUUAACAUUUUACCGGAUGAGCCUGAACCUAUAGCCGCGUGUAAACACUGUCAUAAAAGGUACCGAUGUGACCCUAAAACACAUGGUACUUCUAACAUGCUAGCUCACUCGAAAGUGUGUUACAAAAACCCUGCCCUUUUGUUGAAAGACCCCAAUCAGACAAACCUUGUAAGCGGCGAGGGUGGGUUUUUAGUUCCAACUAGUCAAAGGUUUAAUGCUGCAGCCUGUAGGAAGGCCAUUAAUACCUUUGUUAUCCUUGAUGAACAUUCCUUUAGAGUGGUUGAGGGUGUUGGUUUUAAGCAAAUGUGUAAACAAUUGCAACCCCAAAUGGCUAUCCCUACUAGGAGGACCGUUGCUAGGGAUUGUUUUCAGCUUUACCUAGCUGAAAAGUCACGUCUUAAAGCCUUUUUUAAAUCUGAUUGUACUAGGGUUGCACUAACCACAGACUGUUGGACUUCGAUACAAAACCUUAGUUAUAUGGCCACCACUGCACACUUCAUUGACACUGCUUGGAAGUACCAAAAAAAAUUAUUAGUUUCUCUUUAGUUCCAAAUCACAAAGGUGAUACCAUUGGCAUGAAAGUCGAGGACGUUUUGAGGGAAUGGGG